rnacentral:tRNA from 1 species
GGGGUUGUGGCUCAGCGGUAGAGUACUCACCUCAUGUGUGUGAGGCCCUGGGUUCGAUCCUCAGCACCACA